CCCUCCAGCGAACUAGAGUUCAACUAGAGUUCCUUAACCCAGCCAACCCCUGAACAGGUUUAUGUUCCUUUAUAUUCAACUAGAGUUCCUUAACCCAGCCAACCCCUGAACAGGUUUAUGUUCCUUUAUACUCAACUAGAGUUCCUUAACCCAGCCAACCCCUGAACAGCUGCAAGUGAUAUGUCGACUAAGCUCUAGUUCUAAUCCUUGGGUCCAGCUAGGCAUAGAUGAACACUCUAGAAGAGAGGAGGUUAACAGAGCUUACAGAAAACUAGCUGUACUACUUCAUCCAGACAAAACUCAGGCUGUUGGAACUGCUGAAGCGUUUAAAGUUCUAGGACAAGCAAGAAAUCAUAUUCUAAAAACUAUUGUAUCCUAAAUUAUAGUUUUAUCAUUUAUGAAAGGAAUUGAGUUUUCACCACAAGCUCAACAUUUCUAAUACCUUUA